rnacentral:lncRNA from 1 species
CUGCUGUUAGGAUUCUGACUCUGAUGGUGGGAUUACAUCUUUAUUCUGGCAUCUAUUCUUAUCAGUCUGAUCUCUGUUCCUAGCGAUAAGAUUCCAGGGUCACUCAAUACUAUCCAUGUCCCUCCCCUCCUCAUUAAAAUGUGUGUGUGUGUGUGUGUGUGUCUGAAGUGCUUGAAGGUCUCUAUCUCUACUUAGUUUACUCCUGUGGAGUCUGUUUCCUGGUCUAAUACCAUCUACCCUGUGCAAAGUGCAUUGUCCGGCCCUCUGGUG